rnacentral:rRNA from 1 species
UACGUAGGUGGCAAGCGUUGUCCGGAUUUACUGGGCGUAAAGAGCGCGCAGGCGGUCGUUCAAGUCGCGUGUGAAAGCCCCCGGCUCAACUGGGGAGGGUCAUUCGAUACUGAUCGACUGGAAGGCAGGAGAGGGAAGCGGAAUUCCCGGUGUAGUGGUGAAAUGCGUAGAUAUCAGGAGGAACACCGGUGGCGAAGGCGGGUCUCUGGGACGAUAUCGACGCUGAGGAGCGAAAGCGUGGGGAGCGAACAGG